rnacentral:rRNA from 1 species
CCUACGGGAGGCAGCAGUGGGGAAUAUUGGACAAUGGGGGGAACCCUGAUCCAGCGACGCAGCGUGAGUGAAGACGUAUUUCGGUAUGUAAAGCUCUAUCUGCAGGGAAGUAAAUGACGGUACCUGUCUAAGAAGCCCCGUCUCACUUGGUGCCCGCCGCGCUGGUAAUACGGAGGGGGCACGCGGUAUCCGGAUUUACUGGGUGUAAAGGGAGCGUAGACGGUGUAGCAAGUCUGAUGUGAAAGGUCGGGGCCCAACCGCGGGACUGCAGUUGAAACUGUUGAACUGGAGUACAGGAGAGGUAAGCGGAAUUCGUAGUGUAGCGGUGAAAGGCGUAGAUAUUAGGAGGAACACCAAUGGCGAAGGCAGCUUACUGGACUGUAACUGACGCUGAGGCUCGAAAGCGUGGGGAGCAAACAGGAUUAGAGACCCCAGUAGUC